rnacentral:rRNA from 1 species
UACGUAGGGGGCAAGCGUUGUCCGGAAUCAUUGGGCGUAAAGAGCGUGUAGGCGGCUCGAUAAGUCUGCUGUGAAAGUCCGGGGCUCAACCCCGGGAGGCGGGUGGAUACUGUCGAGCUAGAGUCCGGAAGAGGCGAGUGGAAUUCCUGGUGUAGCGGUGAAAUGCGCAGAUAUCAGGAGGAACACCAAUGGCGAAGGCAGCUCGCUGGGACGGUACUGACGCUGAGACGCGAAAGCGUGGGGAGCAAACAGG